UACGUAGGGUGCAAGCGUUGUCCGGAAUUAUUGGGCGUAAAGAGCUCGUAGGCGGUUUGUUGCGUCGGCUGUGAAAUCCCGAGGCUCAACCUCGGGUCUGCAGUCGAUACGAGCAAACUAGAGUGUUGCAGGGGGAGACUGGAAUUCCUGGUGUAGCGGUGAAAGUGCGCAGAUAUCAGGAGGAACACCGGUGGCGAAGGCGGGUCUCUGGGCAACAACUGACGCUGGAGGAGCGAAAAGCGUGGGGAGCGAACAGG
rnacentral:rRNA from 1 species